UACGUAGGGGGCAAGCGUUGUCCGGAUUUAUUGGGCGUAAAGAGCUCGUAGGUGGUUCGUUAAGUCCUGUGUGAAAUCCCCCGGCUCAACUGGGGAACUGCACAGGAAACUAGCGGGCUUGAGUUCGGGAGAGGGAAGCGGAAUUCCGGGGUGUAGCGGUGAAAUGCGUAGAUAAUCCGGAGGAACACCUGCGGCGAAGGCGGGAUAGCUGGGCCGACACUGACGCUGAUGCGCGAAAGCCAGGGGAGGCGAACGGG
rnacentral:rRNA from 1 species